AGUUUUAUAGUCAAAUUUUAUGAUAUUAGACUGCAAUUCUAAAGUUGACUUUAUUAGUCUAAAGCUU
rnacentral:tRNA from 1 species